rnacentral:lncRNA from 14 species
GGGAGCCGUGCUACGACUCAGGCUUGUAGCCCUAGCUGCGGGAAAAGAUGUGAGGUGGCAGCGGGCGGGCCAGCCGCUCUCCACGAGUGGGUGCCCGGCUGCAGCUGUGUACUUGAGAGCUGGGUAUCAAGGCUGCCGGUAGGAGCCCUCUGGCCCGGACAAAAGGAGAACUAGCGUUCCGCCGAGAGGCCUCCUGGAUCUGCGGGCUGUAACGACCGAUCCGUUUGCCCUGGACCCGACAGGUGCUAGCGGCGGAAGCUUCGGGGCCAUUUUCUGCAGCUCUGGAAACAGAAGCAUCAGGACUGCUCUUCACAUGUUCCAAGAAAGGUGUCUACAUACACUGACAUUCAGGAACUAUCUCUUGCAUCAGGCUUCCAUUUUGCUCUAACCUGCAGCCUUUACUGCAUGCCAAUGAGAAUAUUUCUCAGGUAAGAUGACAAAUUAUAUAUGCUAAGAAAACAGUAUUCCAGUCUGGGGUCUGGAGUGUAAGACCAUGUCUGCAAUGGUCAGGAAAACAA